GUAUGUAUGGGCAAUUUGGCUGCAACAUCCAUCACACAUUGAUUCCAGGGUUGAUUUGGCUGAGCUGGUUGAUUAGGUGGGUGUCCCUUUCCUCCCUCACUUCAUGUGUGUCCCUCCCAAAGAGGACGACCUUCCCUAAUAGCAGGACAGUUAUUUGGUCAAGGGUAUGCAAGUACCUUCAUUCCCCUGCUAGAACCUCCAAACAAGCUUGCAAGAUCCAAAGGUACAGAACUAUGUCACUACUCCAGAAAUAGUUCAUAAUG
rnacentral:snRNA from 1 species